GCGCGUUGCCCGAGGGUUUUCUCCUAUGAUCUCUGCGUGCGGUGCGCAUGCGUGAAGAGUGCGGGCUCAAAGUAGCGCGUAAUGGCGGCGGCGUCUUCAAACUGUGAGUGUUAGCCCACACACCAACGGCUCCUAAAUGUCCCAAACCGCCCCACAACAUGUGAACAGUUCGACAUUGUGGCCGCACAGCGAGCGGCGUGACCAUGUAGAUGUGGUGUCAACAUUAGUGUGGGGUUUUGAGGAUGGGACAGGACAGCGCAGCAAGAAGAUGUAGAUGAAGAAGGGUCUCGACCCCAAACAUCACCCAUUUCCUCUCUCCAGAGAUGCUGCAUGUCCCACUGAGUUACUCCAGCAUUUUGUGUCCAUCUUCGGUGUAAAUCAGCAUCCUCCCUACCUACACAGCAAUAACACGUCCCCUUCUCGCUUUCAAAAUAGUGUUUGGGUAUCGAUUGCAUCUACAUCGACCAGAGAGGCUGAGUAACAUUUCGCUUCAAAUACCCAUGCACUCUUUAUCAGUACUGUAUUGCUGCUUGCCUCGUGUCUGGGGGGUAUUUGCGCGACUUGAAGUGCCAUACAUCCUGUAGCCAUCAAUGCGCACAAUGAAACAACGGAAUGACUUCCAGUAUUGGUGUGAAAGAGGUAUCUGCUGACCAUUCAAGGAGAUGCCUGACCUUCUGAGUUACUCCAGCAUUUUGUGUCUACCUUCAAUGUAAACCAGCAUUUAUAGUUCCUUCUUACACAUUGACUUCAGGAAGAGUAGCAGUACACACACUGCAGUAUACAUUAAUGGCGCCGAACUAGAGACGGUCGAAAGCUUCAAGUCCUUGGGAAUAAAUAUCACCAGCAAUUUGUCCUGUACCAGCCACAUCAAAGCCUAGGCCAACAAAGCACACCAACACCUCUAUUUCCUUGGAAGACUUAGGAAGUUCGGCUUGUCUGCAACAACCCUCAAGAACAUCUGCAGAUGCGUCAAAAAAAACAUUUUAUCGAGAUGCAUUACAGAAUAGUUUCAGCUCCAUCAAAGACCAAGAAAUUACGGAGAAUUGCAGUCACGGUGGCGCAACGGUAGAGUUGCUGCCUUACAGCGAAUGCAGCACUGGUGAUCCGGUUUCGAUCCUGAGUACGGGUACUGUCUGUGCGGAAUUUGUAUGUUCGUCCCGUGAUCUGUUUGGGUUUUCUCCAAAAUCUUCGAUUUCCUCCCACAUUCCAAAGACGUACAGAUUAAUUGGCUUGGUAAAUGUAAAAAUUGUCCCUAGUGGGUGUAGGAUAUUGUUAAUGUGCAAGGAUCGCUAGUCGGCGCAGACCCAGUGGGCCGAAGGGCCUGUUUCUGCGCGGUAUCUCUAAACUAAACUAAAAACCUAGCCCAGGCCAUCACGCAAACCAAUCUCCCUCCCAUUGACUCCAUCUACACUUCACGCUGCCUCGGCAAGGCCCCCAGCACAAUCAAGGACCAACCUUACCCCAGUCACUCCCUCAUCUCCCCCUCCCAUCAAGCAAGAGGUACAGAAGUUUUAAAACGCACAGCUGCAGAUUUAGGUACAGUCAUUUUCCAACUGUUAUCAGGCAGCAAUAGGUCCUCUCAUCAGCUAGAGUGCGGUCCUGAUUUCCCAUCUACUUCAUUGGAGACAUUUGAACGAUCUUUAAUCUGACUUUUCUUGCACUAAACAUUGUAUCCUUUAUCCGAACACUGGCUGAUUUGAUUUAAAUCAUGAAUAGUCUUUUCUUUGACUGGAUAGCACGCAAACAAACGCUUUUCACUGCACCUUGGUACUCAUGGCAAUAAUAAACUAAUCUACCCUACUCUACCUAAUGAAGAUGAGUUGCUUUAGCCAAAGGAUCAGCAUAGUGAAUUUGUGGAAUUCAUUACCACAGAUCGCUGAGGAGGACAAGACAUUGGCUAUUAUUAAAGCAGAGAUUGAUAGGUUCUCUACCUUUCCUUCAUUAUCAUUGCUUUUUGCAUAUCUUCCAUUCAUUUUCCAAAGUACCGUCAACAUCUCUUGUUUCCCUUUCCCCCGACUCUCAGUCUGUAGAAGGGUCUCGACCCGAAACAUCACCUAUUCCUUUACUCCAGAGAUGCUGUGUGACCCGCUGAGUUGCUCCAACUUUUUGUGUCUGUCUUUGAUUGAUAGGUUCUUGAUUGGUAAGGGCGUCAAAGAUUACAGGGAAAAGGCAGGAGAGUGUUGAGAGGGAUAAAUAAAUCGGCCAUGAUCGAAUGGCGGAGUUGUCUCGAUAGGCAAAAUGGCCUAAUUUUGCUCAUAUGUCUUAUGGAGUUUCAUCGUGAACAAGUUUAUAAGAUGGAGCUAUGAGUUCUACAGGGUUAUUCCCUGGGACAAUUACCAAGAUGAACAUCACAUGCUACUGAUAAAAUAUUCAACCUGAAACAGAGCAAGGGGUUGUCUGCAACCAGCAACCAAAGGUUGCAGCUGGCAUAUUCUACAACAAUGUAUUGAGGGAUGUGCUGGGUUGCUGAAACUUGGUACACCCUCCUUAAGAGCCCGAUUUAAGGUGCUACCAUCAGCAUACACAAAGGGGCAGGGACCUGUGUAAAGUUGCUUAACAAUUAUUUACUCGGGAAUGUUUGUGCAGGAAAAUCUUUGUCACGCUGAUGUAAUGUACGUAGAGUGGUUAUGUUCUGAGAAUUUUAUGAAUAAAGUACAUUUCUGAAAUCAAAAA